rnacentral:sRNA from 1 species
AGCCAUGAUUAACUACCUCAAAUAGUUGGUUAUGGUUAGCGGUGUUGAUGUGCUGAGAACACGUCAACACCGCGAA